rnacentral:piRNA from 1 species
UCAUGAUGAUCUAUGGGUCUGGCUUCCUU